rnacentral:rRNA from 1 species
GACGAACGCUGGCGGCGUGCCUAAUACAUGCAAGUCGAACGAGAGCGCCCGGUGCUUGCCCUGGUCAAUCUAGUGGCGAACGGGUGAGUAACACGUGGGUAACCUGCCCAUCAGAGGGGGAUAACAUCCGGAAACGGAUGCUAAAACCGCAUAGGUCUUCGAGCCGCAUGGCUUGAAGAGGAAAAGAGGCGCAAGCUUCUGCUGAUGGAUGGACCCGCGGUGCAUUAGCUAGUUGGUGAGGUAACGGCUCACCAAGGCCGUGAUGCAUAGCCGACCUGAGAGGGUGAUCGGCCACAUUGGGACUGAGACACGGCCCAAACUCCUACGGGAGGCAGCAGUAGGGAAUCUUCCGCAAUGGACGCAAGUCUGACGGAGCAACGCCGCGUGAGUGAAGAAGGUGUUCGGAUCGUAAAACUCUGUUGUUAGAGAAGAACAAGUGCUAGAGUAACUGUUAGCGCCUUGACGGUAGCUAACCAGAAAGCCACGGCUAACUACGUG